AUCUAGCGAGCCCACCUCCCACCCGUGUUUACUGUACCUUAGUUGCUUCGGCGGGCCCGCCAUUCAUGGCCGCCGGGGGCUCUCAGCCCCGGGCCCGCGCCCGCCGGAGACACCACGAACUCUGUCUGAUCUAGUGAAGUCUGAGUUGAUUGUAUCGCAAUCAGUUAAAACUUUCAACAAUGGAUCUCUUGGUUCCGGCAUCGAUGAAGAACGCAGCGAAAUGCGAUAACUAGUGUGAAUUGCAGAAUUCCGUGAAUCAUCGAGUCUUUGAACGCACAUUGCGCCCCCUGGUAUUCCGGGGGGCAUGCCUGUCCGAGCGUCAUUGCUGCCCAUCAAGCACGGCUUGUGUGUUGGGUCGUCGUCCCCUCUCCGGGGGGGACGGGCCCCAAAGGCAGCGGCGGCACCGCGUCCGAUCCUCGAGCGUAUGGGGCUUUGUCACCCGCUCUGUAGGCCCGGCCGGCGCUUGCCGAACGCAAAUCAAUCUUUUUCCAGGUUGACCUCGGAUCAGGUAGGGAUACCCGCUGAACUUAAGCAUAUCAAA
rnacentral:rRNA from 1 species